GAUGAACGCUGGCGGCGCGCCUAACACAUGCAAGUCGAACGAUUAAAGCACCUUCGGGUGUGUAUAAAGUGGCGAACGGCUGAGUAACACGUGGGCAACCUGCCCCUUUCAUUGGGAUAGCCACGGGAAACCGUGGAUAAUACCGAAUACUUCGAGACUUCCGCAUGGAAGACUCGAGAAAGCUCCGGCGGCGAGGGAUGGGCCCGCGGCCUGUUAGCUUGUUGGUGGGGUAACGGCCUACCAAGGCAAUGAUGAGUAGCUGGGUUGAGAGACCGACCAGCCAGAUUGGGACUGAGACACGGCCCAGACUCCUACGGGAGGCAGCAGUGGGGAAUCUUGCACAAUGGGCGAAAGCCUGAUGCAGCGACGCCGCGUGCGGGAUGAAGGCCUUCGGGUUGUAAACCGCUUUCAGCAGGGACGAGGCGAAAGUGACGGUACCUGCAGAAGAAGCCCCGGCUAACUACGUG
rnacentral:rRNA from 1 species